AACGCACGAGACCUGCGGACCUGCGGAAGGAUCAUUAACGAGUGUAACUUACCCUUUUUUUUAAAAGAGGGUAGUACCUCCUGUCCUUUGUAGGCCCCUUUUUAUUGGGGGGCUUUUUAAGACUUUCUGCUUCGGCGGGGUUAUUCCCGCCGGAACACCCUCAAAAAACUCUUCAAAAACUAAUUCAGUCCGAGAAUUUUUGAAAAUAAAAAAAACUUUCAGCAACGGAUCUCUAGAUCG
rnacentral:misc_RNA from 1 species